rnacentral:rRNA from 1 species
UCCAGACUCCUACGGGAGGCAGCAGUGAGGAAUAUUGGUCAAUGGGCGGAAGCCUGAACCAGCCAAGUCGCGUGAGGGAAGAAGGCCCUGCGGGUCGCAGACCUCUUUGGACGGGGAGCAAGGCCGCCGACGUGUCGGCGGAAGGAGAGUACCCGUAGAACAAGCAUCGGCUAACUCCGUGCCAGCAGCCGCGGUAAUACGGAGGAUGCAAGCGUUAUCCGGAUUUACUGGGUGUAAAGGGCGUGUAGGCGGGGAAGCAAGCCAGAUGUGAAAACCACGGGCUCAACCUGUGGCCUGCAUUUGAAACUGUUUUUCUUGAGUGCUGGAGAGGCAAUCGGAAUUCCGUGUGUAGCGGUGAAAUGCGUAGAUAUACGGAGGAACACCAGUGGCGAAGGCGGAUUGCUGGACAGUAACUGACGCUGAGGCGCGAAAGCGUGGGGAGCAAACAGGAUUAGAUACCCGAGUA